CGGAAGAGGCGGUGGUGUUA
rnacentral:snRNA from 1 species